GUGAGUCAUCGAAUCUUUGAACGCACCUUGCGCUCCUUGGUAUUCCGAGGAGCAUGCCUGUUUGAGUGUCAUUAAUUUCUCAACCUCACCAGCUUUUGCUGAGUGCAGGCUUGGAUGUGGGGGUUGCAGGUCCGCUAACGUGGUCUGCUCCUCUGAAAUGUAUUAGUGGGUUGGGCCCCUAAUCUAUUGGUGUGAUAAUUAUCUACGCCGUGGAUUUGGGUGGCUGACUUAGACCCGCUUCUAACCGUCCUUCACCGGACAACUCUUGACAAUGUUGACCUCAAAUCAGGUAAGACUACC
rnacentral:misc_RNA from 1 species